rnacentral:lncRNA from 1 species
CGAAUGGAAUACACAUAUAGAAUACUCUUUAAAGAAAAUCAUGGGAAGUUGAGUAAUUAUAAUGAGAAACUUAAAAGAGAUUAAGAAUUACUAACCAGCAAUGAAAAACUGCAUUUUUAAUAGAGCCAAUCAGCAAGGUUUGUGACUCCCCAGCACUCAAUAUUAGCUGAGGAAAAGAAGAGCUAUUUGCUCUCCAGUAUGAGGUCUGGAAAACAGAUCACCAAGGAUGCCAGGGUAAGAUAUUACUGGCACCUAGUGGAUACAGAUCAGGAAUACUGCUAAACAUUCUAUUAAUAUAAUGCACAGGACAGCCCCCUACAACAAAGAAUUACCUGGGCCAAUAUGUCAACAGUGCUGAAAUUGAGAAACUCUGAUACCUAUGUGCCCAUCCACCUGGCAGUGUGCAGCCUAUGGUAGUUGCAAAAUAAACAUCUGUUGACAAAUGGAUAUAAGAAAGAUUGAACAGAUAAAACCGAAAAAAGAAGGAAAGGAAAAGGAAAGCACAUCAAAAUGAAUAGGAAGAAGGCAAAGUGCACAGAAUCAACAGCCAGAUAGCGGAAUCAAAAAAUAAAAGACUCAUUAUCAAAAAGAUCCAUCUAUUUUAAUGUAAUUACUGAAUUGCUUCUUUCCAUGUUUCUAAUUCUGAAUACUUCCAUAAAUAGACAAACACAGGGAGGAACAUACGCUCUUGAAUAAAAAGACCAGGAUUUCAACUUAAUUCCCAACAUGUGUGCUAAUAAUCUUAAACACGUCCUAAGAUGUUUAAGUUUCAGGAGACUCACCUGAAAGAGUUAAUAUACAAUGACCAAACAAAACAAUUUAUGAAUCUUAUAAAUGAGUCCACUAAGGAUUAUAGAGGACAUCUUCCUUAGGCAUUCCUUCUAUAAUACAGUAAUGCUUACUUUUGGAAAAUAAACUUUCUGAGAGCUAUUCAACUCGCAGUACAUUUUUCCACCAAGUUAGAUGCCAAGAAUAAUAAAUUUGUAUACUGAAAGAUGGGAUAAAAGAACCAUUCAUUACUCACUUUUACUUAGAAAUCAAUGAAUUAACUAAAGUUCUUUCAGAAAUAUAUUUUAUAUCAUGAAUUACAUAGUAUUUUUUGUGGCAAAGCUUAAGAAUCUAGCUCUCAUAUAAGCACUUGCUCAGUAAAAGUUCUGACCUCUAAAAUAUUUUUGAAAUAUCUUCCUAAAUAAUCCAGAAAGUUACAAAUUAUUAGGAAAAAUUUCAGGCAUUGUAAUUUUUAAAUUCCUAUCAUAGACUAGAAGAUUAAGAAAGACUGCACAGGCUGGGUGCAGUGGCUCAUGCCUGUAAUCCCAACACUUUAGGGAGGCUGAGGUGGGCAGAUCACUUGAGGUCAGGAGUUCGAGACCAGCCAGUUGCCAAAAAAGUGAAACUCUGUCUCUAUUAAAAAUACAAAAACUUUUUAGCUGGUUGUGGUGGUGGGUGCCUGUAAUCCCAGCUACUUGGGAGGCUGAGGCAGGGGAA